UGGGGAAUAUUGCACAAUGGGCGCAAGCCUGAUGCAGCAACGCCGCGUGAACGAUGAAGGUCUUCGGAUCGUAAAGUUCUGUUGCAGGGGAAGAUAAUGACGGUACCCUGUGAGGAAGCCCCGGCUAACUACGUGCCAGCAGCCGCGGUAAUACGUAGGGGGCUAGCGUUAUCCGGAUUUACUGGGCGUAAAGGGUGCGUAGGUGGUCUUUCAAGUCGGUGGUUAAAGGCUACGGCUCAACCGUAGUUAGCCUCCGAAACUGGAAGACUUGAGUGCAGGAGAGGAAAGUGGAAUUCCCAGUGUAGCGGUGAAAUGCGUAGAUAUUGGGAGGAACACCAAUAGCGAAGGCGGCUUUCUGGACUGCAACUGACACUGAGGCACGAAAGCGUGGGUAGCAAACAGG
rnacentral:rRNA from 1 species